AAGUUAUUCAAGGGUGUUGUGCUGGGGAGUGAUAGAAUCAGUUUUGACUUUUAAGAAUAUCAUUCUAGAGAAUAGGUUUGAGAUUGGAAAAGCAGGAUGAGAUUCAGAACUAAAAGCUACUUAGGAGGCCAGGCAGGACUGCAGAGGAGAGGCAGCAGUAGCCUGGACUGGCCUAGCAGCAAUAGGAAUAGAAGUGGAAAGACUGAAAUCUUUGCCCUGCAACUGAUCAAAGCAGAAUUAAUAGGGACUCAUAUUUUUGAUAAUAUUCUUGGAGUGAAUUAAACAUGCAGAUUCCAUAAUUUUUGAAGGAUCUCAAGCUUUGCACCAGCCCUGAUGAAUAGAUAUCCAAAUAUUGAAUAGUUGCUAAGUGAUUAAGCAAAAAUAAAUCUGCUUUUCAAUUGAGAUUCAUUUCAGAUCACAGACUAAUGGCUACCCAUUUCACUCUGGGCAGGAGCACGGCAUUUUGUUUCUUUUAAUAAUCCAGAGUGACAAUAGGUUGGCAAAGUGGUUACGUUGGAUGCAUAUUGAAAAGAUUAUUUCAUAUUUUGAGACAGCAUGAAGGCAUUACAGCUUUUUAGUGGUGUGCCAAUUUCUCGGUGGAAAGUGGAAUUCUCUUCUCAGCCCAGUCCUCUCCAAGCCAUCUUGAGGGGAGACAAAGAACCCCAUUAUCCUGAAAUGUGCCUGUUUUGCAUCUGAGGGCCAUAUGCACAGGUAAACAACCCCAUAAAAAGUGAUGGCUUGAGCCUCAUCUUCCCCUAUAAGCGUUAGUCUGGAAGGUGAGAAGAAGCUCACUUAUUACGGUGAGGCAGAGUGAAGGAGAGAGGAGGAAAAACACAUUUAUUUGUGUGAAAGAGAAAAUGAAACAGGAAGGUUGUGAAAGCCUUUCCCAGCUAGGGGAAGCCAACAGGUUCUGAUAAGUGUGUUCUCUUCACCCAGAAGAACCGGAGGAACACCUCUCACAGACUGAGCCUAGAGUGCUGUCAUGAAACAAAAGAAACCUCUGGGAAGGGAGAAAGGGAUCAGGAGCCUGAAUGGGAUGACUUUCUGGUGGCAUCAUCUGGCAGAUAGAGUUGUCUGGCCCAGCCAUCCUCUGGUUCCUGUUCAAGUUUCUAACUCAUAGGGAUGUUUUGAAGAUUUAAUGAUACAAUGUGUU
rnacentral:lncRNA from 1 species